rnacentral:rRNA from 1 species
CGCGUAGGUGGUUUGGUAAGCGAGAUGUGAAAGCCCCGGGCUUAACCUGGGAACGGCAUUUCGAACUGUCAGACUAGAGUGUGGUAGAGGGUAGUGGAAUUUCCUGUGUAGCGGUGAAAUGCGUAGAUAUAGGAAGGAACACCAGUGGCGAAGGCGGCUACCUGGACCAACACUGACACUGAGGUGCGAAAGCGUGAGGAGCAAACAGGAUUAGAUACCCUGGUAGUCC